CAGCAGCCGCGGUAACACGGAGGGUGCAAGCGUUAAUCGGAAUUACUGGGCGUAAAGCGCACGCAGGCGGUCUGUCAAGUCAGAUGUGAAAUCCCCGGGCUUAACCUGGGAACUGCAUUUGAAACUGUCAGGCUGGAGUCUUGUAGAGGGGGGUAGAAUUCCAGGUGUAGCGGUGAAAUGCGUAGAGAUCUGGAGGAAUACCGGUGGCGAAGGCGGCCCCCUGGACAAAGACUGACGCUCAGGUGCGAAAGCGUGGGGAGCAAACAGGAUUAGAUACCCGCGUAGUCCCUGUCUCUUAUAC
rnacentral:rRNA from 1 species